CAGGGUCGGGGAAUACCUGACCCUGCAGAACGUCUGCCGCCGCUCCAGCCACACGUAGCGCAUCCCCUGGAACAGGAAUGGGAGCCCGAGGGUCAGCCCUCCCUCAAACCCCCUGGAUCCCGUGGGAACACGAGCCCAGCUCACCUGCCCUCGCCCAGCGGCUCCAGCAGCACCCUGGAGGUGAAGCACUGCCCGAAGCGGUCCUGGAACACAGGGAUGGUCUGGGAUGGACGCCGGGAGCUCCCUGCUCAGCCCAGAGCCUCGGGAAGGCAGGGAGGCCCUGGCUACCCAUCUUGGGGGAUGGAAGGGUGGGUUUGGGGGAUAAUGAAGAGAAAUUCCAGGCCUGGUUGGCUGGCGGGGAAGGGAAAAGCGCAAAGUGAUUUUAGGAAUAAGAGUUAUUCCUGGACUAAUGGGAUACUAUAAUUAUUAUUAUUAAUAAAAUAAUGAUAAUAUUAUAUAAUCAAUAUGCUACAAUAAAUAUAUAAUAAAUAUGUUAUAAAUAACAUACUCAUAUAUAUUUAUGUCUUACAUAAUACUGAUAGUAAUAUAAAAUAUAAUGGCAAUAUGAUGAGAAUAUUUUUAUAUAUACAUAUUUUAAUAAAUAACGAUGAAAA